AUUUCAACUCAGGACCUCCUUGGUACGAAAUAGUAGAGGCACCACCUGGAGCGGAAUGCCCGAUCGUUGUAUCGUCAUAACGUCAAUGAAGCCCAUGGGAAUCUUGGCACAGUGCAGACGAGUUACUGUCGGCCACAAGAUCUACGCACAUCCUUAUCUGGCGUGAAAUUUAGCGGGACUCAACUCUGUACGAAACGUCCGCCGGUCCGAAACUCUGCGACUUACGGCAGCCAAGCUACUCAGCUGCACGUCCUUCCUACUGACUUCAUUUCUGAAGAUGGAGGCAGGAUGUCGGUUAAGUCCAUCACUCUCCGAACCAGGUUCACAUCUGACGCCUGAAAGUGUGGUACUCUUUUAGGCAGUCUCGUACACAUGCGCUGCCCGUGGCCUUCUGCAUCUCCCAGUCUUCUGUGCUAUGUUGGCUACUCCAAGUUGGUCUGCGCAGGCCCGUCGUUGCUUCGGAUGGAUUGCAGUCUCCUUCCUCAUCUGUCUUUCACCAUCACUGCUUCUUAAUGAUCUUCUGCCUGUCCCUCCGUGUUCUCCUCACACAUUCAAGAGGCAGUUUCCUGUGUCUCUGAGUCCAUAAUGUGUAUCUAUGCCGUGCUGGGGGCACGCGGUAGCGCAGUUGGUUGAGGAACUAUGCUACAAGCCGGA